AUUGAACGCUGGCGGCAGGCCUAACACAUGCAAGUCGAGCGGAUGAAGGGAGCUUGCUCCUGGAUUCAGCGGCGGACGGGUGAGUAAUGCCUAGGAAUCUGCCUGGUAGUGGGGGAUAACGUCCGGAAACGGGCGCUAAUACCGCAUACGUCCUGAGGGAGAAAGUGGGGGAUCUUCGGACCUCACGCUAUCAGAUGAGCCUAGGUCGGAUUAGCUAGUUGGUGGGGUAAAGGCCUACCAAGGCGACGAUCCGUAACUGGUCUGAGAGGAUGAUCAGUCACACUGGAACUGAGACACGGUCCAGACUCCUACGGGAGGCGGCAGUGGGGAAUCUUGGACAAUGGGCGAAAGCCUGAUCCAGCCCUGCCGCGUGUGUGAAGAAGGUCUUCGGAUUGUAAAGCACUUUAAGUUGGGAGGAAGGGCAGUAAGUUAAUACCUUGCUGUUUUGACGUUACCAACAGAAUAAGCACCGGCUAACUUCGUG
rnacentral:rRNA from 1 species